rnacentral:tRNA from 2 species
GAGAGCGAGGGGGCGGAUGUUUAGAAGAAAUAAAUAUAAAGAGUAUAAAGAGAGCGAAGGGGCGGAUGUAGCCAAGUGGAUCAAGGCAGUGGAUUUGUGA